rnacentral:rRNA from 1 species
UGGGGAAUUUUGGACAAUGGGCGAAAGCCUGAUCCAGCAAUGCCGCGUGUGUGAAGAAGGCCUUCGGGUUGUAAAGCACUUUUGUCCGGAAAGAAAUCCUUGGCUCUAAUACAGUCGGGGGAUGACGGUACCGGAAGAAUAAGCACCGGCUAACUACGUGCCAGCAGCCGCGGUAAUACGUAGGGUGCAAGCGUUAAUCGGAAUUACUGGGCGUAAAGCGUGCGCAGGCGGUUUUGUAAGACGGAUGUGAAAUCCCCGGGCUUAACCUGGGAACUGCAUUCGUGACUGCAAGGCUAGAGUAUGGCAGAGGGGGGUAGAAUUCCACGUGUAGCAGUGAAAUGCGUAGAGAUGUGGAGGAAUACCGAUGGCGAAGGCAGCCCCCUGGGCCAAUACUGACGCUCAUGCACGAAAGCGUGGGGAGCAAACAGGAUUAGAUACCCUGGUAGUCCACGCCCUAAACGAUGUCAACUAGUUGUUGGGGAUUCAUUUCCUUAGUAACGUAGCUAACGCGUGAAGUUGACCGCCUGGGGAGUACGGUCGCAAGAUUAAAACUCAAAUGAAUUGACGGGG